rnacentral:rRNA from 1 species
CGAACGCUGGCGGCGUGCUUACCACAUGCAAGUCGAACGGAAAGGCCCUGCUUGCAGGGUACUCGAGUGGCGAACGGGUGAGUAACACGUGGGUGAUCUGCCCUGCACUUCGGGAUAAGACUGGGAAACUGGGUCUAAUACCGGAUAGGAGCCAUUUUUAGUGUGAUGGUUGGAAAGUUUUUUCGGUGUAGGAUGAGCUCGCGGCCUAUCAGCUUGUUGGUGGGGUAAUGGCCUACCAAGGCGGCGACGGGUAGCCGGCCUGAGAGGGUGGACGGCCACAUUGGGACUGAGAUACGGCCCAGACUCCUACGGGAGGCAGCAGUGGGGAAUAUUGCACAAUGGGCGCAAGCCUGAUGCAGCGACGCCGCGUGGGGGAUGACGGCCUUCGGGUUGUAAACUCCUUUCGCUAGGGACGAAGCUUUUUGUGACGGUACCUAGAUAAGAAGCACCGGCUAACUACGUG